UCUAUAGUCGUCUGGAAUAGCUGCCUGC
rnacentral:piRNA from 1 species